ACUCCUACGGGUGGCAGCAGUGGGGAAUAUUGGACAAUGGGCGAAAGCCUGAUCCAGCCAUGCCGCGUGUGUGAAGAAGGUCUUCGGAUUGUAAAGCACUUUAAGUUGGGAGGAAGGGCAGUUACCUAAUACGUGAUUGUUUUGACGUUACCGACAGAAUAAGCACCGGCUAACUCUGUGCCAGCAGCCGCGGUAAUACAGAGGGUGCAAGCGUUAAUCGGAAUUACUGGGCGUAAAGCGCGCGUAGGUGGUUAGUUAAGUUGGAUGUGAAAUCCCCGGGGCUCAACCUGGGGAACUGCAUUCAAAACUGACUGACUAGAGUAUGGUAGAGGGUGGUGGAAUUUCCUGUGUAGCGGUGAAAUGCGUAGAUAUAGGAAGGAACACCAGUGGCGAAGGCGACCACCUGGACUGAUACUGACACUGAGGUGCGAAAGCGUGGGGAGCAAACAGGAUUAGAUA
rnacentral:rRNA from 1 species